UCCCUGGUGGCUCAGACGGUAAAGCGUCUGUCUACAAUGCAGGAGACCCGAGUUCGAUCCCUGGGUGGGGAA
rnacentral:tRNA from 1 species